AUGCCGCCACCGCCGCCGCCGCCGGUCCACCUCCGCCUCCGGGUCUCCAUCACCCCGCCCCACCCGCUCCCUCUCCCCUACUCCCGCCGCUUCUCCUCCGCCACGUCUGGCCUAGCCACCGCCCGCCACCUCUCCCUCCGCCGCGGCAGCCGGCGCCGCGCCCCCGUGUGCGCCGCGCGGAGCGAGGCCGCGGGGGCGGAGGGGUUCGACGAGGAGCUCGGAAGGCUCCUGGAGCUGCUCCCCGGGGAGCUGCGGCAGCGGGUGGAGGACCACCCGGAGCUCCCCGCGCUGGUGGAGGUGGUCAUGGACCUCGGCCGGCCCCCGCUCGCGCGCUUCCCCUCCGGCGACUUCCUCCUCUCCCACCGCCCCAUAUCCUUCGACGACCUCCGCCAGGCCACUGCGAAGGUUGGGGACUUUGGAGGUGACAAUCGCGCUGGGAUUAGCCGCACGCUGCACCGGAUCAGCGCGAUCAGGAACAGGCAGGGAGACAUUGUGGGACUGACCUGCCGCGUCGGGAGGGCUGUGCCCGGAAGUGCUAAUUUGCUUCAGGAUCUGGUGAAGGAUGGUGGGUCGUUGCUGCUCAUCGGCCCACCAGGGGUGGGGAAGACAACUGUCAUAAGAGAAAUUGCACGAAUGCUAGCAGAUGAUUACGACAAGCGGGUGAUGAUUGUUGAUACAUCCAAUGAGAUAGGUGGAGAUGGUGAUAUUCCUCACCCAGGAAUAGGCAAUGCCCGUAGGUUGCAAGUGCCCAACCAAGAAAUGCAGCAUAAGGUGUUGAUAGAAGCUGUGGAGAAUCACAUGCCUCAGGCAAUCGUCAUCGAUGAAAUUGGAACUAAGCUAGAGGCUAUGGCUGCUAGCACCAUUGCACAGCGGGGGAUACAACUUGUUGCCUCCGCUCAUGGUGUAACAAUAGAGAAUCUGACCAUGAAUCCUUCACUAGAUAUGCUUGUAGGAGGAAUACAGAGCGUCACCCUUGGCGAUGAAGAAGCAAGCAGGAGAAGGGUACAAAAAACUGUCCUAGAGCGCAAGGGCCCAUCAACAUUUGCAUAUGCUGUAGAGAUCGUGUCGAAAACUGAGUUACGUGUCCAUCGUAGCCUGGAAGCUACAGUAGAUGCUCUGCUUGCAGGUAGAAUGCCUAAUGUUGAAAUUCGUAAGUUAGGUUCAACCGGCUCGGUGCAGCAGGAAGUUUCUGUGCAGAAGGAUCAAUUUCGUCGUGCUCCUUACGAAAUUGCGUCUCAAUCUGAAGUUGCUUCCUUAAGUAAUGCAAGAACAAGCUUGGACUCUGCAUUUAAUCUUGAUUCUGCCAACGGACAUAUAGAGAACUCUAAUGUGUCUGAGGCAGCCUUCAAUCUCUAUGCUUAUGGGAUAUCCGAGGAAAUUGCCUUGCAAGCGAUUAAACAACUGGAGCUGGAGGAAAUGAUUACUUUGACUUAUAAUAUCAGUGAAGCUGAUGCAGUGAUUGCUUUGCAAUCGAAGCUCAAGAAGAAUUCUCAGAUUCAGGCUGUGUUGAAAUCUGAAGAUAUACCGGUUUUCUUCGCUAAGACGAACUCCCUGGUGCAAAUUACCCGGGCACUUCGCGUCCUUGUCGAUGAUCACGUGGAUGGGUUGAUCGAUGUUGAAGAUAAGGAGGAAGUAAGAUCGUCUGAGGAAACCGAUGCUUUGGAGGAAGCAAGAUUGGCAGUCGAGCAGGUAGUGAUCCCGAAAGGGGAGAGCGUGCAGCUCCUGCCUAGACCAUCGACCAUCAUCUCCUCCCAAGUAAACCUCGUCGAAAGCUUCAACCUCAAGUGGGAAAUCACAGGCCAGGAGCCAAACGCGUGCCUGAGGAUCCUUCCGCAGUUCGCGGACAGGGAAGUAGGUUCUGCCUCGGAGCAAGAGUCCGCACCCGGGCUCACAGAUUCAGAUAGCAGCUCCGAUGGCAUGGACUAUACACAGAGCGGCGUCGCCAGGCUACCCUUCCUCCCGGAGUAG
rnacentral:rRNA from 1 species